AUCUAUGACCAUGCUACCCUGAAUGUGCCUGAUCUCAUCUGAUCUUGGAAGCUAAGCAAGGUUGGGCCUGGUUAGUACUUGGAUGGGAGACCAAAGUGCUGGCAUUACAGGCA
ensembl:rRNA 5S_rRNA 5S ribosomal RNA